AGAAAUAACAAUACAAGGCAGUUAAAAUGCUUUGUAAUUGGAAUGAUAGAAAUUUAAACACUUUUUAAAGUAUCAAUUGGAGGGCAAGUCUGGUGCCAGCAGCCGCGGUAAUUCCAGCUCCAAUAGCGUAUAUUAAAAUUGUUGCAGUUAAAAAGCUCGUAGUUGAAUUUCUGCUAAAAAUAACCGGUCUGCUUUUAAUAAAGGUGGUAUCUUGGUGUGUUUUUAGCAAUAAUGUCCUUUGAAAUGUUUUUUACUUCAUUGUAAUAAAUUAUAUUCAGGAUUUUUACUUUGAGAAAAUUAGAGUGUUUCUAGCAGGCUAACGCUUUGAAUACUGCAGCAUGGAAUAAUAAAAUAGGAUUUUGGUUCUACAUUAUUGGUUUUAAGAGCUAAAUUAAUGAUUGAUAGGGACAGUUGGGGGCAUUUGUAUUUAACUGUCAGAGGUGAAAUUCUUAGAUUUGUUAAAGACAAACUACUGCGAAAGCAUUUGCCAAAGAUGUUUUCAUUAAUCAAGAACGAAAGUUAGGGGAUCGAAGA
rnacentral:rRNA from 1 species